rnacentral:rRNA from 1 species
AUUUUUAUGGAGAGUUUGAUCCUGGCUCAGGAUGAACGCUGGCGGCGUGCCUAAUACAUGCAAGUCGAGCGAACGGACGAGAAGCUUGCUUCUCUGAUGUUA